ACACAUGUGUGUUUAUCCGGUGAAGAGUGACUGAUGAAGGAAUGCUGCCAUCAAAGGCUUUCAAUCUUUUGUGGUGGAGCAGGUGAUGGCAGCAUUUGUGGGAAGAAAGAAAGACCUGAAACAAAAAUAUAAAACUGGUGUGAGCAGUGAGAAAGGAGAAAUCCACAGCAGCAUCCUGGAAAUGCGGUUUAGCCCACUACAAAAGUAAUAGAGCUACAGCAAAAAUUAGCAUGU